rnacentral:lncRNA from 1 species
GGUCGAUUGAAGUAUUUUAGUUAUCACGUCAUUCAAUAAGGUAUAUAGUCAGUCAGUAGCGAUGACAGUUAGUAUGGCGUAGUUGUUUUCAUGCAUACAUGAUCCUCUGAAGGUUGCUGACGCAAUGUUUUCAGUUCAGUUACCUAAGUUGUCAGUUUGAAUCUAAUACAUUCUGUCACGCUUACAUGUAUAUUGUAUUUUGUAUAACCAUUUCUAUCUUAUUGAUUUUUUAAAUGAUAUUUGUGGAGAUGAUAUUGGUCUCAUAAAUUUUUACCUAUCUCAUUCUGUAGUAAUAACGAUAACAUCACCGAAUGAGACACUGUUACAAAACUGUAAAUAGACGAUGUUCAUAUUUUUUUAUUUCUAAAUGCAUGUGUAUUUUUAAAAUAUCGAAUCCAGUUGAUUAUCCUAAUUUAGGACACAAGUUAGAAUUCAGAUGACCUUAAACUCUCUUGUCAAUUCUAUUAUUAUUCUUAUAAACGGUACGAAGUUCAACUCUAAAUAUAUAUGAACAGAGCAAAUGAUUACAAUAUAUAUUCAAUAGCUUCAUAUAAUCCUUUUUUUUUUAUAAUUUAGGGGCAAAAUACAAAAAUGUAAACUUGAUAAAGUCCAUACUAAUGAAACUGUAAAAUGUUUAGCAAAAAUGAUAUUAAAUUAUGUCGUCUCUGUUCCUAUGUACUAUUUAGUCCAAAACAGAAACAGAGAAAUUCUCCGUUGACAAAAUUUCAAUUCCCUUAAAGUAGUUUCAUGGUAUACCACAAUCUUGGAUUGUGCACUCGCAGUACA